CUUGCCCAUCUUUCAGCCUUUAAAUUGAGAGGAGUCACUGAAGAACGCAUGCACAGUGUUUCCCCAAAGCCCUGUGUCCUUGGGAACAACCGAGAUGUAAUCGAUCAGAGAAAUGGUUUCUUCCUGGAUCCAUGUGAGCUAAACUGUUGUGUGACUGGAGAUACUCCGUGCCUGCAGAGUUGUGGUGACAAGCAAGCCUGUGAGUUCCCAGGCCAGCCUGAAAGAUGGUGAGAGGAAAGAGAGGACAUGAUUGAACUGCCUGGAAUCUGCAUCCACCUGUGCUGGAAAAACACCCGGACCCCAGCCCUGCAACGGGAAGCCAAGCUGGAGGCCAUCCCUGGGGACUUGUCGUCCUAAUCACUACCAGCCUGCAAAUUAACAAACCUAUCUAAUUGGCUUCACAUGGAGAAAGUCUGCUCCCCAACAUGUGUGCAUGCAGAGCCCCAGCGAGUGUUCAUCACGGAUCAUCGUGGAUCAUCGUGGAUUGUCAGCAAGACCCCCAGCCCUCCUCCCCGCCCUUCUUCUGAAAAGUCUACAUAUUCCAUGAAUCCUUGAGGGAGCCUGACUCUUAUAAGCCCUCCUCCCCGCCCUUCUUCUGAAAAGUCUACAUAUUCCAUGAAUCCUUGAGGGAGCCUGACUCUUAUAAGGUGUCAAACUGGAGGCUGUGUGGUCAGAAUCACACAAUGCAAAACUGUGUCUAACUAGAGGACAGAGAGAAGAGUUUAGGUGUUUCAGAAGAUUGGAGGAUUGGAGACAACAUUUUGAUUAAGAUGCUGGUUUUGAUGCUCACCAUUGCUGGGUCCAGCUUGCAGCCAGGAAAUCUUUUGUUGAUAGAAGGGAAUAAGGGGGAUUCUUGCUGCAUUUGGAGAGAGUACUUGAUUGCUGAUUAAAAUCUGCAUCUCUGAUGUAAACCUGAACCUUUCAGGAAGCAGGCUGUGAGAAGUCCUAAUUAGUGUGAAAUUAUAUUUCCCAGAGAUGUUGCGGCAGUGAUCAUACAGACCUACAGCACUGUAAUUCCCUAGGUAGCGCAAGUGUUUCUCUGGAUCAGGCAUUUGUGAUUGCGUGGACUUGAACUUUAGGUUCAAGUGUAAUUUCCCUGCCCUCACUCCCAGCCCCUGAAAACUACUCUCAUGUCGUCACUCAAACAAGAGACAUUCACUGAUUCCCUCCCCACCCCACCCCACCCCCCACCCCUGGGUCGUAGAACAGGUCAGUUCCUAGUAGGCCUGUGAAUCAGGCCUUUCCUUGUAAAUCAGGCAAGGUUUCUAAUAGAUCAACAGCUAUUGUCAGACUAUAGCCACUGAGGGAGGGGACACCUAAGGUUAUCAGAAUUUCUGUCACUCAAGGGUCACUGAACGAACCACAACAGUGUCCUCCUUGGAGAAAAGGCAAGGAAGUCUCCAAGAAGUCGCCACCGUUUGGGAAGACCACACAAAUUCAUUCCUCUCAGAUACUGUCCAUGUGUGAGUUACACAUGCCAACCGCCAAGUAAGAUACUUCCUGAACAAAGUUCUCUUCCUCUGCAGUCUCCAAAGCUGAUGCUAGGUCUCUAAGGAAGUAAGACUGAAGCAUCACAAGACCAGACAGAAUUAACACAAAAUGUGAGACGGGGUUAAACUCUUCUUAUCUCAAAGAUGAAACAAACCACGGUGGCGUUAGCUUUGGAGCUGGUGUCCUGGUAAAUUCUAGAAGCUCUAGUUCCAUGAUGGCAGCCUACACUGAGCUGCCCUCCUGUCUUGGGUCUCAACAUCUCUGAUGCAGUGGUCACAAGUCCAGAGCAGUUGGCAGCAGGCCAUAGCCAAGGGAGAGCACAGUGAAAAAUUACAGUAACCCCACCCACCCUCACUCAGAUGUUUCAGCAUCAGGACUGCCUAUAAGCAAGCAAUUAUGCUGAGACACCUGGUUCUGCUGUAGUUUCUAUUCCUGCCACAGGCACUUUGGACACAUACAAUCAUAUAUUAGGUGGAGGGUAGAAAACCACCUGAAAGUGUUUCUAUGUGUUGUAGCAAGACAGGAGGGAAUCAGAGACAUGGUUGCUAACAUUUGGAAGAGUUAUACCGGGGACCUGCUUUUCAGAAAUGAAAUGCCAUUAUACACAAAGACUGAAGGGUGACACGUGGCCCCGUUAGGAAAGAAUUCACAAAGCUUCAUUUCCGAUAAUUACUUGGACCCCAUUUAUUUCAUCAGCAAGAGUUGUCACAGUCUCCUUGCAGGAAGAAUAAGCCUCCGCUCUUUGCAGACUCCACAUGAACUUAUCAUUUACACAUACUGUUUGGUAUAGUUUCCACAUGUUAAUUGUUCAAUGAGUUACUUCCUGAACAAAGAUCCUUCUCCUUCUGAAGCAUCGAAGCUGGUGUCGGGUCUCUGAAUACUGUAUGUUGCAAAUCAAAGCUGUAGUCUGUUCCUUCAGGAGCUCAGGGUAAAAUAACAAAGAUCAAAUAAAUCUCUGGUAGAAAUGA